rnacentral:rRNA from 1 species
UACAGAGGGUGCGAGCGUUAUCGGAAUUACUGGGCGUAAAGCGCGCGUAGGCGGCUUUGCAAGUCGAGUGUGAAAUCCCCAGGCUUAACCUGGGAACUGCAUUCGAGACUGCAUAGCUAGAGUAUGGGAGAGGGAAGUGGAAUUUCAGGUGUAGCGGUGAAAUGCGUAGAUAUCUGAAGGAACAUCAGUGGCGAAAGCGACUUCCUGGACCAAUACUGACGCUCAUGUGCGAAAGCGUGGGGAGCAAACAGG